CAGAAUAAAUGCUGAAUAUUAUCGCGAAAAUAUUCUAGAGGGUGUAUUAAAGCCUUGGGCACGCAAACAUUUUGGCCGCAGACCUUGGACAUUCCAACAGGACCAUCCCGAGUACGAUGGUGGACGCGCCACCCAAGAAUGGUUAGAAAAUGAGGUUCCUCGCUUCAUUUCCAGCGCACAAUGGCCACCAACAUCUCCUGAUACCAAUCCGUUGGACUAUUGUGUCUGGAGUAUUUUGGAAAUCAUGGUUUACACUAAAAAACACGAAAGUGUCGAUCACCUCAAUCAAGCCCUUCGCCGGGAAUGAGCCAAAAUACCGCAGAGAAACAAUCGGGCAACGUGUGAUGGUGACUAAUUCCAACAAAUCUAAACUUAUUCUAUAAUUUGACGCUAUUUCCGACAUUUUUGCUUUCAUUCAAUAAAAUUUAAAAAAAGUCUAAA